rnacentral:rRNA from 1 species
GGACACGUGUAAUCCUGACCGAAUCCGCCGGGACCAUCCGGCAAGGCUAAAUACUCCCGAGAGACCGAUAGUGAACCAGUACCGUGAGGGAAAGGUGAAAAGCACUUCGAACAGAAGAGUGAAAUAGUUCCUGAACCCAUACGCCUACAAGCUGUCGGAGCCGCUUCGUGCGGUGACGGCGUGCCUUUUGCAUAAUGAGCCUACGAGUUACUCAUCACCAGCGAGGUUAAGUACUUCAGGUACGUAAGCCGAAGCGAAAGCGAGUCUGAAUAGGGCGUCAAGUUGGUGGUGGUAGACGCGAAACCUUAGUGAUCUACCCAUGGGCAGGGUGAAGGUUUGGUAACACAAACUGGAGGCCCGAACCGGUAAACGUUGAAAAGUUUUCGGAUGACCUGUGGGUAGGGGUGAAAGGCCAAUCAAACUGGGAAAUAGCUCGUACUCUCCGAAAUGCAUUUAGGUGCAGCCUCUGUUGUUUUGUUCUAGAGGUAGAGCUACUGAUUGGAUGCGAGGGCUUCACCGCCUAUCAAAUCCGGCCAAACUCCGAAUGCUAGAACAUGAAGACAGGGAGUGAGCCAGCGGGUGCUAAGGUCCGUUGACGAAAGAGGGAGAACUCAGACCAUCAGCUAAGGUCCCCAAUUAUAUGCUAAGUUGGAAUAAAAACGGGGUGGGACUGCUUAGACAGCUAGGAUGUUGGCUUGGAAGCAGCCAUUCAUUUAAAGAGUGCGUAACAGCUCACUAGUCGAGCGGUCCUGCAUGGAUAAUACGCGGGCAUAAGCAUAUAACCGAAGCUAUGGGAUUGUAGAUGAUACAAUCGGUAGGAGAGCAUUCCAUUCAGCAUAGAAGCAGUAUCGUGAGGUAUUGUGGAGCGGAUGGAAAAGCAAAUGUAGGCAUAAGUAACGAUAAUGCGGGUGAGAACCCCGCACGCCGAAAGAUCAAGGAUUCCCCGGCAAUGUCAAUCAUCCGGGGGUAAGUCGGAUCCUAAGGGUAAGCCGAGUGGCGAUCCCGAUGGCAAACAGGUUAAUAUUCCUGUACUGAUCAUAACUGCGAUGCAGCGACGCAGAGGUGACACUGCUGCGUACUGACGGAAUAGUACGUUGAAACCCGUAUUCUUUGAUACCGGUAGUGAAGCACGCCGGUAGAGAUGAAAGGUGAUAGUACCGCAAUGCUUCGGUUGCGCGGAUAAUGCAGGUAAGCUGACUGCCAAGAAAACCUGCUAAGCUUCAGGUAAUGAUCAUCCGUACUGUAAACGGACACACGUGAUCAGGUAGAAAAUACUAAGGCGCUCGAGAGAUUCAUGGUUAAGGAACUAGGCAAAAUGGUCCUGUAACUUCGGGAUAAAGGACGCUCUUGUGAAAGAGCCGCAGAUAAUAGGCCCAGGCGACUGUUUACCAAAAACACAUGGCUAUGCUAAUUCGCAAGAAGAUGUAUAUGGCCUGACACCUGCCCGGUGCCGGAAGGUUAAGAGGAGAGCUCAGAGGUAACUCGAAGGUUUGAAUUGAAGCCCCGGUAAACGGCGGCCGUAACUAUAACGGUCCUAAGGUAGCGAAAUUCCUUGUCGGGUAAGUUC